rnacentral:rRNA from 1 species
AUUGAACGCUGGCGGCAGGCCUAACACAUGCAAGUCGAACGAGCGGCGGACGGGUGAGUAAUGUCUGGGAAACUGCCCGAUGGAGGGGGAUAACUACUGGAAACGGUAGCUAAUAACGCAUAACAUCAGAUGUGCCCUGAUGGGAUUAGCUAGUAGGUGGGGUAACGGCUCACCUAGGCGACGAUCCCUAGCUGGUCUGAGAGGAUGACCAGCCACCCUGGAGCUUGGACACGGUCCAGACUCCUACGGGAGGGAGCAGUGGGGAAUAUUGGACAAUGGGCGCAAGCCUGAUCCAGCCAUGCCGCGUGUGUGAAGAAGGCCUUCGGGUUGUAAAGCACUUUUGUCGGGGAUGCGGUACCUGAAUAAUAAGCACCGGCUAACUACGUGCCAGCAGCCGCGGUAAUUC